rnacentral:misc_RNA from 1 species
UGCCGAUCGUGCGGCGCACGCGCGCCCACAGCGGCUCCGCGUUGGGCUCGAAGACCACCCACUGCAGCCCGCGAUCGAUCGACUU